UACACUCCUGCGGGAGGCAGCAGUGGGGAAUUUUGGACAAUGGGCGAAAGCCUGAUCCAGCAAUGCCGCGUGAGUGAAGAAGGCCUUCGGGUUGUAAAGCUCUUUUGUCAGGGAAGAAACGGUGAAAGCUAAUAUCUUUUGCUAAUGACGGUACCUGAAGAAUAAGCACCGGCUAACUACGUGCCAGCAGCCGCGGUAAUACGUAGGGUGCAAGCGUUAAUCGGAAUUACUGGGCGUAAAGCGUGCGCAGGCGGUUUUGUAAGUCUGAUGUGAAAUCCCCGGGCUCAACCUGGGAAUUGCAUUGGAGACUGCAAGGCUAGAAUCUGGCAGAGGGGGGUAGAAUUCCACGUGUAGCAGUGAAAUGCGUAGAUAUGUGGAGGAACACCGAUGGCGAAGGCAGCCCCCUGGGUCAAGAUUGACGCUCAUGCACGAAAGCGUGGGGAGCAAACAGGAUUAGAAACCCCAGUAGUCCCAUGAU
rnacentral:rRNA from 1 species